rnacentral:rRNA from 1 species
UGCCUAAUACAUGCAAGUCGAACGAACUCUGGUAUUGAUUGGUGCUUGCAUCAUGAUUUACAUUUGAGUGAGUGGCGAACUGGUGAGUAACACGUGGGAAACCUGCCCAGAAGCGGGGGAUAACACCUGGAAACAGAUGCUAAUACCGCAUAACAACUUGGACCGCAUGGUCCGAGUUUGAAAGAUGGCUUCGGCUAUCACUUUUGGAUGGUCCCGCGGCGUAUUAGCUAGAUGGUGGGGUAACGGCUCACCAUGGCAAUGAUACGUAGCCGACCUGAGAGGGUAAUCGGCCACAUUGGGACUGAGACACGGCCCAAACUCCUACGGGAGGCAGCAGUAGGGAAUCUUCCACAAUGGACGAAAGUCUGAUGGAGCAACGCCGCGUGAGUGAAGAAGGGUUUCGGCUCGUAAAACUCUGUUGUUAAAGAAGAACAUAUCUGAGAGUAACUGUUCAGGUAUUGACGGUAUUUAACCAGAAAGCCACGGCUAACUACGUGCCAGCAGCCGCGGUAAUACGUAGGUGGCAAGCGUUGUCCGGAUUUAUUGGGCGUAAAGCGAGCGCAGGCGGUUUUUUAAGUCUGAUGUGAAAGCCUUCGGCUCAACCGAAGAAGUGCAUCGGAAACUGGGAAACUUGAGUGCAGAAGAGGACAGUGGAACUCCAUGUGUAGCGGUGAAAUGCGUAGAUAUAUGGAAGAACACCAGUGGCGAAGGCGGCUGUCUGGUCUGUAACUGACGCUGAGGCUCGAAAGUAUGGGUAGCAAACAGGAUUAGAUACCCUGGUAGUCCAUACCGUAAACGAUGAAUGCUAAGUGUUGGAGGGUUUCCGCCCUUCAGUGCUGCAGCUAACGCAUUAAGCAUUCCGCCUGGGGAGUACGGCCGCAAGGCUGAAACUCAAAGGAAUUGACGGGGCCCGCACAAGCGGUGGAGCAUGUGGUUUAAUUCGAAGCUACGCGAAGAACCUUACCAGGUCUUGACAUACUAUGCAAAUCUAAGAGAUUAGACGUUCCCUUCGGGGACAUGGAUACAGGUGGUGCAUGGUUGUCGUCAGCUCGUGUCGUGAGAUGUUGGGUUAAGUCCCGCAACGAGCGCAACCCUUAUUAUCAGUUGCCAGCAUUAAGUUGGGCACUCUGGUGAGACUGCCGGUGACAAACCGGAGGAAGGUGGGGAUGACGUCAAAUCAUCAUGCCCCUUAUGACCUGGGCUACACACGUGCUACAAUGGAUGGUACAACGAGUUGCGAACUCGCGAGAGUAAGCUAAUCUCUUAAAGCCAUUCUCAGUUCGGAUUGUAGGCUGCAACUCGCCUACAUGAAGUCGGAAUCGCUAGUAAUCGCGGAUCAGCAUGCCGCGGUGAAUACGUUCCCGGGCCUUGUACACACCGCCCGUCACACCAUGAGAGUUUGUAACACCCAAAGUCGGUGGGGUAACCUUUUAGGAACCAGCCGCCUAAGGUGGGACAGAUGAUUAGGGUGAAGUCGUAACAAGGUAGCCGUAGGAGAACCUGCGGUUGGAUCACC